rnacentral:lncRNA from 1 species
GCUUAAACACCAAUUUGUACGGAAAUCAGCCUAGGAAAACCAAAACAUUUCGAAACCGAAAAACAGGAACAUGCAUUAGCUGGUUUAUAAAAGCUUUACACGUGUAAGCAUCCUAGAGUGAAGGCGUUUUACGCAGAGGUGUAGCAUAGACUUUUCCGUGUCAUAGCUUGUUAUUCGAAUAUGGUUGCAGCUGGUCUGAUCAUGAUCAGGCAGUGUAGCUACUGAAGAAGGUGAUGACUAUUUCCCAAAACUCUUUCCUCUGUAUAUAGAAAGUAGAAACCGUGAAUUGCUUCACUUCAUUUAUGAAGAAACCUCAAACAAGGUGAAAAUAUAAUAUGUAGAAAUUUUCCUAACCAAGUGUCAUAAACUGUUUUAACGAGAGAGUGUGAUUAUUUAGUGUUAAUAUAUAAGAGUAGUAGAGUACCCACUUUUUGUGUUAAAGGACUAAAUUACCCUUCUAUAUAAAUGGACAAACUCUAAUUUUCUUUCAUUCUUUCAUUUCUCUCUCUCUACCCGCUCUUUCCUCUCUCUCUCUCUCUAUACACGCCCUCUCUCUUCUCUCUCUUUCUCGUGAUCUUUCUCUUCCAAGCGGCGCCGCCGCAUGCUCUUCACCACGCCGCCGCCUUAGCACGGCCACCGCCAACUCCGUCCUUCACCACGCCGCCGCCUCAGCGCCGAUUUCUCUCUCUCUCUCUCUCUCUCGAAUCCUCCAACAAGGCGUGGAAUUCCUCCUCCAGAAACACCAUGGCGUGCUGCAGCGCCGCGCUCGUCUGAUUCAUCGACGGGUUCACGUUCGAAUUCGCCGGGAACUCGCUCAACAACACGUUCAUCAAUUUGGAGAUGCGCCG